rnacentral:lncRNA from 1 species
AAUAAAUGAUUGGAGAAAUGGAUUCAGAAAAUGGACGGGAAUGCAGAGGCCAGACACUUGGGAACACAGCAGAGGUCACCCUGCAGUUACAUUCCAGGUAAGGUCCUGUGAUCAAUUAACUACUUCCUAAGACCUCUGUGAAUAGGACCAUCUUGUUUCCCACACUGGUGCUGCUGCCUUCUCUGAUUACUGUUUUGGUGACCACUUUGCAUCUCACACUCUGGAAUCCUCCCACUCUAUUAA